ACCCCAGGCUUGCAUGCUUUCGGUCUGUGUUGUUGUGGGACCCGGUCACGUGGAGCCUGGUUGGGACCGGAGGCCGGGGAAAGCUUUCUCUGGCCUUGGGUGGUGAGUGAUGCGUUGGCCGUGUGUGGUGUGUCUUCCAGCUCUCUGCCUUGCCCUGGUGUGUGCGGGCCCCGGGAGGAAGCAGCCGUGUGGUGUUUGGGGUCA